CCAAACCCUCCAAACUGGGAGCUAAAUAAGCAUUUUCUCUUUAUAACUUAAUUGCCUAAUGCAUUUUGUUGCAGUAAUGUAAAGUUAACACAGUGCUCUUACAAAAGAAGCCUAAAGAUAGACUCCAGGCUCCUUUCACCACACAGAUAUGAAAGUACCAUCUGUGAGCCAGAAAGCAGAUUUUUUCACCACACAUGGAAUUUGCUGACACCUUGGUCUUACACUCUCCAGUCUUCAGAAUUAUGAUAACUGAGGCCAUGGGAGUUGAUGAAGUUUGCUGAAGAGAACCACAUAGGCUGAGUUACAAAAGAGCUCAGCAUACCCCCGAAGACCAGCAAUAACUGAAGGAUGAAUACAAGAGAAGACUGCAAAGUAACCUGAGCCAGAACCACUAGAUGGAGUGAGGUUUUAGAAAACUGAUGGCUAUACUGAAAAGUUAAAAAUCAUCAUUAAAGACAAUAAUAAUCCCUGGAAAUAAUUUCAGAAUCCUAAACGUGUUAGAGGAUACUUUAUGGACAUGCCAUGGAUGAGGGAAACCACAUUGUUAAGGAAGAUACAUGGACUGUGAGCUCCAAAGAAGAUUGCUAGUCCCAGCAUCUUCUCCUAACUGGAGAUUGGCACUAUGAAUCCUUCGACUAAAUACUGCAUGGGAAAAAUAUUCAAUGAGAAAACUGGGAGUUGGCCUUCAAUGAUAUGGUAACCCAAGACUACAGUGAAACAAGUGACUGAAGAGAGGAAUUCAAAAACAGACCUGAAUAAAGAGAGUUCAGGCCCUUCCUAACUGUAUCCCUGGUUACUGUGCCGUUGUCAUUCCUGGGGUUUCUGAU